CCCUUCAUGUUAUUAUAUAUUUUUUUCCAUUGUAGUUAAGAAAACAAUAAAUAGAUUUCAUUUGUCUCCCUUGUUUUUUUUUUUUAGAGAAUCAGUUUCAAAAUAUAGUUAUCUCCCAUCUUAAAUUUAGCCUGUUAGUCAAAGGGAGACAACUUUAAUUUUCCACAAAAAUUACGGAAUUCCAUAAUAUUAUGGAGUUCGCUAAGUGCCCCGACUGU
rnacentral:lncRNA from 1 species